rnacentral:lncRNA from 1 species
GGCAACAUAUGAAUUGUCCAAAGAAGCCAGUAAAUUAACUUUCAGAUUUCCCAUGACCUAUUACAAAAAUAUACUCAAGUAACUGAGGUUGUUGUAUCUGUAUACAGAAUUAUAGUAACCUAGAUACCUACUGUGCAAUUGUCUCUUAGGAGAGUAUAAAAUAGCAUUACGGUGAAGAAGAAUUAAUUUUGAGGGUGAUUCUGCAAUUUCUAGCCUAUAUAAAUCACAUGACUUCUCUGCACUUGGACUGGCACAUAAUGUUAACCAUCAUGGGAGAAAAGGAAAUAGAAUGAAUGAAAGUAGGACACACAACAUCAAUGAAGGGUUACUUUUGGUGAUGUAUUCCAUAAUGAACUAUUUCAGGAAGAACCACAGACAGCAUCAGCUCAGGCUCCCAAAAGCUUUAAUGUUUUUGAAUUUUUCACUAUAUGUGGUUCCACAUUUUGGAUUUCACUCAGGCUGCAAACAAACACCUAAUCUUUCUCAACACAUUCCCAAAUGUAAUUACAUGGUUACUUUAGCUACAACAUUCAGAUUGAUCAUAACAGAAAUAUAUCUUGCACCUAUACAGUGUACUUCCACCUAUACUACUGAAUAGUUCACAGGAAAGUCUAUCUGAUUAUAUAUAUAGUAGGCCUUAUGCUAGCUUACAACUCAACGGACACAGCAGCUUCCUAGGUAGGUAUCUCAGUUUAAUCCCAUGAACUCUCAAAUUUCUAUCAGUUUUACAAACUGGUCUCUAGACUUCUUAACUUACAUCUAAUCUUUGGGCAAACACUUUAACUAAACAGAUAUAUCAAAAAGGACAUGAGAUGUUAAUAUCCACGUGUCCAUUAGUACACUGACUACUUCACAACCACCAACAAUUCCUUCAUCUGGGAGCUUGAAGUCUCCUGCCCAUAGCUAGUAUAUCAUUCAGAAUGUUUUAACAGGGCCUUGAAAAACAAGUGAAAUUAAACUUCAAUCCUCAUAAAAAUAAUAGUUCUUCAAAACUGCAUUUAUUUGGAUUAAAACAUCCCAAAGUUACUCUUUAUAUUAAAAGCUAGAUCUUAAAUAAAAGUGAGCAUACUAUAUCCAUAGCAGCCAGUCUCCUAAUUAUGGUAUAAGUAAAGUUCCAUCUGUGUGGAAAAAAGUUCAAAGCACAAAGUUUUAUCUGUGCCAACCUCACAUCUGUAUCUCAGCUAAUACAACCACAGGAGAUAAGCAGGUCAUGGAGAAUCUGCCCACAAUCUUCAUAUCAACAAGCUCUGGAACAUCUGCCCCCUCCAGAAAUAUUUAUAUCCAGAAGGUAUAUUUAUAUCCAGAAGGUAUAUUUCUGGAGGAGGCAGAUGUUCCUGAGCUUGUUGACCCACACCAUCCCACUGGGCAACAACUCUGCAAUUUCUCCUAAAGUCAUGGUUAUUCAACUUAACAUGUACUUUUACAUUUGUAUGUUCUUCAAAUAAAUUGCCUACAUUCACACCAGGGAUGAUAUCCCCCAACAUUGAGCAUAUAAGUCUUCUAGACCAAUAAGAUUAUUAUGGAGAAAGAAGCUAUUCAACACCUGUUUUUCUCAUGAGUCACAUGAGGCAACAACCUGAGGUCAAAGAAAUGGAGAAUAAUUGAACUCAAAGGCAUCUAAGGAAUUAAAAUUCUACAUAGCAAAAUCCUUCCAUUACAGAAGUACAGCAGGUAAGAAGUUAUAAUGGACACCUAUAGCCCAAGGCCCACAUUUUAAUCUGAGGGCUAUUUAUAACUUUUAUAACAGGUCUAGAUGUAUAGAUCUUAUGCUCUCAUAACUCAAAAGAUCAAAAGUCCACUCUUGAAACACCAACUAUGUGGAAGUACCCCCUUUGAACCAUCCAGCCUUCACUUUUCGUGAACCAUGUACAAUGCCAAGUCAUU